GAGCCGGCAGUGCUGCCUGCCCAGCCCGCCGCGCCGGGUCCAGCUGCCCCGCCCGCGCUCCCAUGCCCCCAGAGGGGCUCUAGCGCCGGGCGCGUUCGCGAGGAGCGAGGGCGGUGACGGCCCCGGGACCAUGCUCUGAGCGCCCGGGGCAGCCAGCGAGGGAAGUUGGGGUGGAAGAUGAACAACACCGAAAUCACAAAGCCACCACUAGCACCGAAACCAAAAAUUAUUGGUCAUCUUUCUCCAGUAGCCAUCUCCAAAUUUUCUCCUUCACUGCCAAGGUCUGAUAUUCUUCAUAACCCAAAUUCUAUGUCUAGGGGUCCCAAACCACCUAUUGCUCCCAAGCCAAAACUCUCUACUGACACAGAGAGCAGAUCCAGUGUUAAUGCCAACAAUAAUUUAAAUAAAUGCUCAAAUUGUAAACUUCUCUGUCUUGACGGAGAGUUGUAUGAUGGAAAUCAAUGCAGUGCUGAGUGCCCAGAAUCUGAGGCGGAUAAUGAAUACACUGUACUUCCUGAAACUCAGCUGACCAUUGAAGACUGCAAUGACUUGGAACAUGGGCAUGAUCAGAGCCUAGAUUCUUUUGCAGACAAUGAAAUCUUGGAAAUUCCAGAAGCAGCAGAGAAGGAAGAAGAUAACAUUCCUUAUCAUGCGGAUGCUGACCAUCAAGAAAUUGAGCACCGUAACUUUUCAGAUAUUGCUGAACCAAUAAAACCAGACUGUGUAUCAUCAACCAGAGACUGUAGCCAAUCUGAAGCAUUCUGUGAAGAGCCCUCUGAUGCCACUGGUGGGAAUAAUGACGUAUCCAAGAAUGUAGAUGAAGGUGAGAAUGUUGCAGGUGAUUGUAGUGAAACCAAAAGCAAGGAAGAAAUUUCUAACAAUCUCAAAUUGGUUGAGGACAAUGAUGAUAAGACUGAUGGUGAUAACAUUUUGAAUGGAGAUGAGGGCAAUGUCUGUGAAGAUAUCAUUCUAACACCACUAACUGCAGCUGAAUUAAUCCCAAGUUUGGAGAAGUCAGAGGAGGAAGAAGAAGUGCCUGAGAUUUUAAGAAAGGGAGAUAGAUGUCCAGCACAUGAUGGUGAUCAUAGUGUGUAUGCAGAGCUUGAUUUGAACAUGGAAGAGGAGUUAGAAAAUGAUGACUGUACAAGUCCUGACAUGCUGCACAAUGAAGCCAGUGAGAAAACAGUUCUGUGCUUAGAAUUGCCUGAAGGUGAACCCAGUGCUGAAAAUGAUCUGGGAGAUUCCACUCAUCCAGCAGCAGCUGAAGAGGAGGAAGCAGACACAGACAAACACAAUAAUACAAACAUAGGAAAUGCCAGUGAUGACUGCCAGAUCACUGACCUGAGAGGUGAGGAGACAUCAGAGGUAGCCUGUGAAGCAGGCGAAGACUUUGGAAAAGGAGAGGAAGAAACUGUGAAUGCGGAGAGUACUGAUGAUGGGUGUCAAAUUGCUCCUUUUGAGAAUGAUGAUGGUGAGGAAGUACCCACAAAUCUGCAAACAGAAGAGACCUGUCCAAAAGAAGAUGGUCAGAUCUCUGAUACCCUCCCUAGUGGUCCAGGGAUGGAGCCAAAGCUGGAAGACAUGUCUGCUGAAGAACAUAAUGAAAGCAUUGCAGAAGCCUCUAAGUCAGAUGAGUUGCAACUUGAAGGAAAUGAGGCAGAAACAGAUAGUCUCAGCAAAAGUGUCCUAAGUCCAACACAAUUAGUCCCACAUAAGGGAGAGAUAGAAGUCUGUCAGCAUGAUAAAAUGAAUGUAGAACAUGGGACCAGAAAUGUCUUGCAUGAAAAUCUAGUACUCCCUGAAGUAGUCAUUGUGCCUGAAGAAUCAGAGAGAAGAGAAACUGGCAGUGAUUCCCUAGAUGACCCUUAUGUACUUCCUGCAGAAAACGAAUUCACUCAUAAAGGGCAGACUGAUUCAGGAGCUGAUCACAGUAAAAGGGAUGAGUUAGGCAUGGAUGGUGAAAGCAACUUACUGCCCAUUGAUCGUAAAAGCAUUGUCACUAGAACACGGUCACUUUCUGGGAAAAUGCCAGGCUAUGUGCCAGAAACAGUUCCAGAAGAAGGUGGUCCUGAAAGCGAUUUACCACCUUCCUGCAACAGUUCUGGGACUGAAGACUUAAGCAAUAAUUCAUUUUCAGUGGAAGGAAAAACAGUGGAAGACAACAAGGCAUUACAAUCCAAGCCAAGACGCUUUAUUUUAUAUCCUCGGUCUUAUUCCGUUGAAGGGAGAGAGAUACCUGUCUCCAUUUACAAAGAGGGUGAUGGCUGUGUACUCAGCGAUAUUAGAAUGAAAAAGACAGAAGACAACUUAUCUUUGCCUUGUGUCAAUGGUUCCUCACAUAUCUUUUCCCCAGGAAAUCUUUCGUCAGGCGCUGUAUCUACUCCAUCCUCAGUUGUCGAUAUACCACCUCCUUUUGAACUUGCUUACAUCACCAAAAAGCCAAUCACUAAAAGCUCCCCUUCGCUUUUGAUAGAGAGUGAGUCACCUGAUAAGUAUUCCAAGAAAAAGAAAUCUUCCUUUAAGAGAUUCCUCACUCUAAAAUUCAAGAAGAAAACUGAAAGUAAAAUCCAUGUAGAUGUUAAUGUUUCUUCUUCGAGGUCCUCAUCAGAGUCCAGUUAUCAUGGGCCUCCAAGGCUGAUGGAGCUGGACAGGACUCUGAGUAGCUCACCUCAACUGAAGUCACAUGUGGGGAAGCUCCGUGCGUCUGAGUCUCCCUCAACUGUUCUUUUCUAUAAGGAUGGUAAGAGAAAAGGAACACCCAAGUCCUUCAGCAGGAGCGUGUCACGGGUGGAAUCCUUUGAGGACCGGUCCAGACCUCCUUUCAUGCCACUGCCAUUAACAAAGCCUAGAUCAAUUUCUUUUCCCAAUGCUGACACUUCCGAAUAUGAGAACAUUCCAGCUAUGAACUCUGACUAUGAAAAUAUACAGAUUCCUCCUCGAAGAUCCACCAGAGCAGGAACUUUCACUGAGUUUUUUGAAGAUCCCAGCAGGGCAUUAUCUGCUGCUAAUGAGAAUGACGGCUAUGUGGAUAUGAGCAGCUUCACUGGCUUUGAGAACAAGCAGCAAACCAUGGACCAGGAAACAGAAAGUGCCUACACUGAGCCUUACAAGGUAUGCCCGGUCUCUGUGAUACCUGUGGAGGUCAUCACAUCAGAUGAGGAACAGAAGAGUUCAGAAGAUGAGAAGAGCAGCCAAGGCGAUCCCAGCCUCAUCAGCAAGAAAGAAGGCCAACCCAGAGCUUCCCUCAUUGCCCAGGAACUGAUGUCUUCAGAAAAAGCGUAUGUGGAGAUGCUCCAGCUGUUACGUGUGGAUUUAUAUGAAGGUAUCUUGAAAGCACUUGGAGAAGAAGAUGAACAGGAAGUAGUUGAACUCAAGAAGGGCUUAAGCGAGCUCCCUGAAAUGUGUGAAUUGCACCAAGAGAUCUUGGGAGAGCUGGAAGAAAGAGUCCUUAAAUGGGAGGAACACCAGAAAGUUGCUGAUGUUUUUCUCUCCAGAAAAUCAAGACUGAAUCACCACACAGCAUACAUUAUGCAAUUUGACAAGAAUUUGGCUCUGCUAGAUGAAACCUGCCUUAAGUAUUCCCAGCUGGCUACUGUCAUUCAGGAAUUUGAGAAGAGCUCUGGUGGAAGCCCACAGAAUGUGAAACACCAGCUUUUGAAAGUGGUGCAGCGUGUCUUCCAGUAUCGUGUGAUGCUCACAGAUUACUUGAAUAAUCUUUGCCCUGAUUCUACGGAGUAUGAAGCCACACAAGGAUAUCCUUCUAAACAGAAAGGAUUUGGGUUUUCUUCCUCUCUGACAUUAUUUGUGGCCUUUGUUUUACUUCGUUCUUCAGCUGCCUUAUUCAUUGUUUCUGAAAUUGCGGAUCAAGCCAAUGAGAGCAUGCUCCAAGGGGGUGAAGGAGUAAGGCAGAUGAACCUAAGAGCCAAGAAUCUCAACUUCUGCUCACAUCUGACAAUCCCUGCUGCUCAGAUUUAAAAGCAGUGUCUCUGAUGUGUGUGCCAAAGUCAUAAAUGCAGCCCAUGUGUUCGUGGGCUGUUUUAGAGCACCAUAUUCAGUGAUGAUCACUUCAUGGCCAGAGAGAGAAAAGAGCUGAAUCUGGUAAUAGUUGUAUCAGAAAGACAUAAGUUGUAGUUAAAAGUACAUACAGUUUUGUGAAUAGAGAAACCUGGCUUUGUGAAUCUGAUUCCUAUACCUUCCAAUGUAUAGAAACUGAGGCUAGGGCUCUGAACCUGCUUUUCCUGAAGUCAGUGGCAAGAUUACUGCAGAUCGACAUGAAGCCUAACUAGUAGGUUUCUGGUUUUGUGUGGAGACAAUUUCAAGCCAUGGGAACAGAUCAAAACUUUGAGCAUCCUGAGGUUUAAGGUUUUAAUGCCAAAACUCAGUGUUUGGAACUAUGCUGUCAUAGUGAGAACUUAAAAAGGGGAGAAGAAAAAAAAAAAAAAAAAAAGCGUGGGCCUAUUUUUUGUGUCUUUUUCCACUUUUCAGUGUCAAGCUUCUCAACUCCCUGCUGUCCUACCACAUCUAGCUCAGAAAAUUCUACAUAGCAGUCAUGCCAGUAUUACUGUGUUGGUAUGGUUCUGUGACAACCCAAAACCUUUCCAACCUUCGCUUUAGGAGCAGCAUUUCUUUUACUUCUCCUGAUUACCAUGGGAAACACUGUCUUUUUAACCGUCUCCACCAUUAGCAAUGAACAAGAGCCUGCACACCAUGUUUGUACGAGUUUGCACCAGAGGAGGUGGCCCGCUGUCACGCUGCUGAGGUGCACCACCCACCCCUCGCUGUGUUGCACUCGCUGUUGGGCCUACAUAAGUGUUCAUUAAUCAUCCAUUGCUGUCAGUGGGCGCUGCUUUUUCCACAUGGAGGAGUUCAGUUCCAUAUUUUUGCUUUCUCUACACCUUUUGUCAGAUUGCCCCUCUGCUGCCACCUGUCACGCAUUUCAUAAUGGCUUUAACCUUAGGCAUUACUAUUGGAACAGCCGUUGUAUCAGGCAGAAUGAGGACAAAAGUUGUGAGGGAAGUUUCUGAAGGUGGAAUGAUAGUUGUGUUGCAGUCAUACAUGUAAUAGUGAAAGAGAAGGGAAGAAGCAUAAUAGAAAGGAGAUGCAUGGAAAUAAUGAUAUUAUAUGGACUAUUUCCAAAUAAUUUUCACCAAUAAUCAAUUGAUUACUGUACAAACACUGUACUGCUACCAGACAAGCGCAUGUAGACAGCAGGGAGGAUGUUGUUGAACAAGCCUAAAUUUUACCAUGAAAAGAAAUGUAAUUUAGCCACUUGACAGAAUGACUCUGAAACCCUGGACUUGCUGGACAAAGCUUUCAACAGGUUUGAUUUAUUUUCUCCCUAGGCAUAGGCUUCCCAGUCAUCCUUUUUCAUUAAUAAAACAUUCUUUGUACCAAAAUAAAAAUUUUACUUAAUUAUAUAAUUGAGAUCUCAGGUUUUCACCAUAAUCUCACAGGUUUAGGGACACCCAUAUUAGAGGCUGAGAAUUGUAGGAGCUCAGUUUCUAUCAGAGCAAGGUCCCACAUUUUUUUGUGGUUCCUCUGCUUCUUUAGGUUUUAUUCAAAUACAUGGGAGAUUUGUAUGAAUACUUCUCUGUGUAAGAGAGUGGACAGAAUCAGAUUUUCAUUCCCACUGCAGUGAAAUCAGUGGAGUUAUAUUACUGGUGGAAAUAGUCAUGAACGUUCAAACCCUGUUUUUUUGUAUCAUGGGUUUUUUUUGUAUAAACCAAAUAACUCAAUUUUGGAUUUUGCCUACGGGGAGAACCUCCAAGAAGAUAUCAACAGAGAGCAUCAACGUUGGGCUGGAUGCAAUUGCACUAAGACAUGGGUGUUAGUUUGCUGACAGCGCUUACAAAUCUUUCAGCUGACUCAUUUUGACAACAGCUGAGUUUUUUGUGGGUUAGAUUGGCUCUGCAGGAAGCCACGCCAUGCAGGAAGGAAAUCUAGUAGUAAGCAACAGUUAUCAAAACAGCAAAUAGAGAUUCUCUGAUACUUAUGGCUAAGGAAUAAGCAACUUCCUUUGAAGUGGUAGUGAUUAGCUUGUAGCUCUUUCAUACUUUUUAUGAAAGAUUGAUAUUUACUGUGGUGCAUUGCUGUGAAAUGAUUCUUAUCUCCACUAAUCCACAGUUUAAUUUGAAGAACAUCACCAGACCCUCUGUGUUUUAUAGACAAAACAGGCUGUAUAGUAUUUACUUUAAUGUCUGUUUGGGAACAAUUUCAUCACACAUUCCACACUGACCUUUACACUUCAUUUUUUAUCAUACUGUCAGAGCGUAUCUACUCUUUUUGAAGCUAUGGCCUGGAAGAGAUGAAAUAAAAUCUCCUUCUCUCCUGACUGUGUGAACACUGUGGGUUUUGUGAAGAUUCUCACGUUCAUGAGGAUUGAAGUUCAAUAUUCUGCGAUAUCAGAGAUAGCUUAAUAUCCCAACGAAGAAGAUUGUAACCAGAGGUUCUGUUCUUUCUCUCGGAUUUUCAAAAAUGCAAAGAAUUUUAGAAGUGUCUUUAAUUACAGUGCAAUCUGAACAGAGUAACUCAAUUUAGUGUUAGCAACUUGACAUGCACUCAGCUGAAGUUCUAGCAAUAAUUGGUUUGGCACGUAUCUGGAAAGAGGAAGUAUUCUGCUGCUAUUUAUUAACUGAUCAAACUAUACUCUAAAUAUCAGAUGGCAAUACUGAAUUAUGAUCUAUAUCUUCUGCAGAAUAUAAAAGAUUUGUUAUUGGCUUUUUUGUUUCAUUAUAAUAACAGUUCAGCACACUUCCCCUGGAAACUAUUAGCCCAGGACUUUCAGACAUAUUAGCAUAGUAACUAUCUGCAUAGCAUUCUUCUCAACUAUGAAAAUAUUAUUGGCAGCUUACAGAUGUGCAGUAGAGGCAGAAGUUGUGCCAUCACCACAUAGCAUUGAGUCUAUCUGUAACUCUUGGAGCCAUCCACUACUUGAACUGAUCAGGGUUUGCAUUGCUUUUUGCACUUCUUCAAUCUUUUAGAGGUCUUGCAAUGCUAGCAGAUAAAUUAGAUACAAUAGAUUAGAUACAAUAAAUUAUUGUAGCUGUUAGCAGCUGGUGAAUUUCUGAGGAGGCAGUACUCCUUUGUGGAUGCAAUGAUAAUAUUGCUUGCCAUACGGAAGCUGCGGUUCAUUGCUAACCUUUCCAGAGAAGGAUUUUAGCCACUCCGUAUUUGCAGUACUAACUGGGUGGAGCUUUGUUUUAAUUUUGGAAUUCCAGCUUUGGAAGGGUAUUUAACAGAAGAAUGAAUAGGGUUUUAAGAAAAAUGAAAAAAACAGAGUGUUUUAGGGAACUCUAAGGAAAUUGUACCCUCCUAAGCUGCCCGCAUUUCCAGAUAAAUCACAAUCCUUCACAUGCAGGGUCUGUUUGACUUCCUACAGGAAAUGCUUUUGAUACAUCUUCGUCCAUUUUCUGGUGAACAUAUGUCCAUGUUGCAAAAGUCGGCAUUACAACAGCCGUGUCACGAGCAGUGCUAAGAAAAGCUGCAGUGCAUCUGACUGGCAGCAACUGAGUUCUUCUUUCACGCUUAUAGAAAUCACAGUGUGUAGCACCAGUACUUGCCAAGAGUGUGCUCACAAGAAGGCAAUGCCUUUUCUAUAGAUGAAGAACGGGCUUUUAUUCUGGAAGAUGUCAAUUUGACAAGUUUUGCUAGGGCUAAAAUACCUUUCAGUGAUGGAGAUGUCCUCUGAAAAUGUCUUUUUCAAGUGUCAGUUGUUGCAUUAUAGCUGACGGUUCCUGUGCUAUUAGUUUAUAUAUUGUUUCAGUUUUGCAAGCCUGUAGUAUUUUAGAAGUUACAUGAAAAAUUCUGUUUGUUGGUUGCAGCAUUGCAAAAGAUAUACCUGAUGGCUGAAAGUGUUGAAAAUAUGUCAACUGCCAGUUCUGUUGUGUGCUCACAAUACAGCCUUGUGCUACUCAAGGCUUGUAGGUAGUCUAAUGUGUUUGGUAUGUGGUUAUUGAUUUAGAAGUAAACCUUUCUAAAUAAGUGCAGUUUUUCACCAGAGCAGUAACAUACAGAGCUAUUUCAUGUUUAUCUCAGAAAGCAAGCUGAGAUAGCUGCAUUAAUUGUUAGCUGGAAUUCAACAUAAAUUAGCCUGAAAGAACAUUAUGCUGACAUAGAUGCGCUCCUUCUGAUAUCUGUGAUGGUUUUCUUAAUUAGCUUAUUUAGUAGAUGUCACUGAUUUGUGUAUCUUAGAUACAUCCUUGAUUACACUUUAAAAUCUAAUAGAAUCUAACUAAGCCCAGGGAUAGCUUGAAGUCAGUCAGUGCAGCAAAGGUGAACAUGUCAUUCUCUGACAUAGCAAAAAGUAGUUAAAGGCUUCCAGAUCAUGAAACUGUCAAAUAUGAUGCUUAAUCAGUAGCUUUUCUGUGUGUGUAAUCAGGGAGUUAGAACAGUGGUUAACUUGGACAAGAGAGUGCUAACAUUUGGACACAUUCUAGUGAUAUCUCAGUGCUGUUGUGCAGCUCAUUUUAGUGCUUAGACCAGAUAAAACCACAACUGUGUGCAAGCCUGGGUUUUAGCAGCAGUAUCUGCUACACAAAUGAUUUGAAGAGACUCUAGCAGUAUUGCUCAGAUGCAGACCCUCCUUCCUCUUCUACAUAUUCCAUCCAAUACGAUCUUUGUUUUAAUGAUUGUAAAGACUUAAUUAGAUUAAUUUCAUUUACCAUCUUCAGAUAAAUUAAUGUCAUGUGCCCAUACCCUGUCUGUGCUCUCAAGUCAGGCAGGCAGUUGUAUGAGAACUGCUAAGUCACAGCCUGAACUGAUGACUGAACACCUGGUGAAGGGACACAGCCAGCCCUGGGAACACAGGGGAAAGCAAUUCGUCUCUGCGACUGGAAGGGGUGGAGCCUAGUUCCACCACUCCCUAAGCCUUAUUUAAGGGCUGGUUGCCCCAGGGAAGAAUUCCUCUCUACCUGGUCAUCCCUUCUUUUUGAGUAUUUGGUGAGCCCUGAUCCUUGGGAUGGGAAAACUUGCAGAAGCUGGUCCACAUUGAGCAUAGUGUGAGAGGGCAAAGCGGCCUCCUCCAGCCAGGAAGGGUG